rnacentral:lncRNA from 1 species
GGUGGGCAUUUGAAGGGCCAUGGGUUAAAGAAUACACAGUUGUAUAACUAGCUUAGUACAAAAAUGAAACCUUUCAUAAUUCCUGGAGCUAAGCUUUAAAUGUAACACACAAGUAUAUAAAAUAAUGAUAAACUAGAUGGGUAAAAAUUGUGAACAUUGUUUAAGUAAUUAUUAUGAAAUGGCGUUUAUUAGACCUGAAUAUAUGAUAAAGAAUUUACAAUACAGGAAAAGUGAGAUGGGGUUAGUUAACAAACGGAGCAGGAUAAAGGACUAAUUUGGAAAAAAUAAAUGAAUUUGUGGUGAUAAUUUUUGAUUACUCAAAUAGGGAAGGGGAAUAUGUAAUAUAAGAAUUUCUUACAAGUUUUUUCCAAAGUACCCAUUCCCUCCUUUAUGGAAUUUUGUGAAGUCUCCUUGGUC